GUCGGCCUUGCCGAGCAGCGCGUCGGGCGUCGUCGCAUGGCGCGGCGCGUAGGCGAUGCCGAUGCUUGCGGCGAUCGCCACGCCGAUGCCGUCG
rnacentral:tRNA from 3 species